rnacentral:lncRNA from 1 species
CACAUCUUCCUUAAUACCAGUACGGUUGGCUGACACUGUUUCUUCUACAGUAGGAUUUGGGUUGCCAGCAACCUUUCUCCUCCUCCCACUUCUUCUAGUUCCAACUUGGUUCCCGCCAAUACUAGCAUUAGAAUCCACGUUAACAUCCGGAGCAUCCCUUCCCAUAACAGAAUUGCAGUUUCCGAAAUCGUCGGCAGAAACAUUGUCCACUUUCCACACACUUGCAGCUGAUGCAUGACAUGAAUUA